AUUCGCACACCCACUAUCUACUCUACCUCUCCCUCUCCCUCUCCUCAUCUAUCUGUCUCUGUCUCUGUCUCUCUGUAUGUGGCUACAUGGUCUCUAAGAAGAAGUAUGAUUGCUUUAAUCUAGGUUGGUUUGUCUCCUCUCUCCCUCUUCGUUCCAGUAACCCUCUCGCCCUUGGGGAUAGGAUGUGCUGUGAUUCUUUGGUGGUAUUAUUAUAUGAGGAGAGAGACUUGCAGAUUUGGCACUUCUUGUAAGUUUCGCCAUCCUAAACAUGUAAUUAAUUUUCUGCUCUCUGUUUAUAGAUGAAG